CGUGCUUAACACAUGCAAGUCGAACGGAAAGGCCCUGCUUUUGUGGGGUGCUCGAGUGGCGAACGGGUGAGUAACACGUGAGUAACCUGCCCUUGACUUUGGGAUAACUUCAGGAAACUGGGGCUAAUACCGGAUAGGAGCUCCUGCUGCAUGGUGGGGGUUGGAAAGUUUCGGCGGUUGGGGAUGGACUCGCGGCUUAUCAGCUUGUUGGUGGGGUAGUGGCUUACCAAGGCUUUGACGGGUAGCCGGCCUGAGAGGGUGACCGGCCACAUUGGGACUGAGAUACGGCCCAGACUCCUACGGGAGGCAGCAGUGGGGAAUAUUGCACAAUGGGCGGAAGCCUGAUGCAGCAACGCCGCGUGCGGGAUGACGGCCUUCGGGUUGUAAACCGCUUUCGCCUGUGACGAAGCGUGAGUGACGGUAAUGGGUAAAGAAGCACCGGCUAACUACGUGCCAGCAGCCGCGGUGAUACGUAGGGUGCGAGCGUUGUCCGGAUUUAUUGGGCGUAAAGGGCUCGUAGGUGGUUGAUCGCGUCGGAAGUGUAAUCUUGGGGCUUAACCCUGAGCGUGCUUUCGAUACGGGUUGACUUGAGGAAGGUAGGGGAGAAUGGAAUUCCUGGUGGAGCGGUGGAAUGCGCAGAUAUCAGGAGGAACACCAGUGGCGAAGGCGGUUCUCUGGGCCUUUCCUGACGCUGAGGAGCGAAAGCGUGGGGAGCGAACAGGCUUAGAUACCCUGGUAGUCCACGCUGUAAACGGUGGGUACUAGGUGUGGGGUCCAUUCCACGGGUUCCGUGCCGUAGCUAACGCUUUAAGUACCCCGCCUGGGGAGUACGGCCGCAAGGCUAAAACUCAAAGGAAUUGACGGGGCCCCGCACAAGCGGCGGAGCAUGCGGAUUAAUUCGAUGCAACGCGUAGAACCUUACCUGGGUUUGACAUGGAUCGGGAGUGCUCAGAGAUGGGUGUGCCUCUUUUGGGGUCGGUUCACAGGUGGUGCAUGGCUGUCGUCAGCUCGUGUCGUGAGAUGUUGGGUUAAGUCCCGCAACGAGCGCAACCCUUGUUCACUGUUGCCAGCACGUUAUGGUGGGGACUCAGUGGAGACCGCCGGGGUCAACUCGGAGGAAGGUGGGGAUGACGUCAAGUCAUCAUGCCCCUUAUGUCCAGGGCUUCACGCAUGCUACAAUGGCUGGUACAGAGAGUGGCGAGCCUGUGAGGGUGAGCGAAUCUCGGAAAGCCGGUCUCAGUUCGGAUUGGGGUCUGCAACUCGACCUCAUGAAGUCGGAGUCGCUAGUAAUCGCAGAUCAGCAACGCUGCGGUGAAUACGUUCCCGGGGCUUGUACACACCGCCCGUCAAGUCAUGAAAGUUGGUAACACCCGAAGCCGGUGGCCUAACCGUUGUGGGGGAGCCGUCGAAGGUGGGACUGGUGAUUAGGACUAA
rnacentral:rRNA from 1 species